CUCACUGAUAUAAAUUAAAGAGCCGCGGUAUCUUGACCGUGCAAAGGUAGCAUAAUCAUUAGUUUUUUAAUUGGAAACUUGUAUGAAUGGUUGGACAAGAGAAAGACUGUCUACAUUGUAAAGAUUGAAUUUAACUUUUAAGUGAAAAGGCUUAAAUAAUUUAGAGGGACGAUAAGACCCUAUAAAACUUUAUAUGUUAAUUAAAUUUAACUAAAUUUUAAAAGUUUAAUUUAAUGUUAUAUUUUAUUGGGGCGAUAAAGGUAUAAAUAAUAUUAACUGCUUAUUUUACAAACAAGUAAUAGUUGAAAGUCAUAAUUGAUCCUUUCUAAAGAUUAAAAGACCAAGUUACUUUAGGGAUAACAGCGUAAUUCUUCUUGAGAGCCCAUAUCGAAAGAAGAGAUUGCGACCUCGAUGUUGAAUUAAAAUAUCUGUCAUGGGGCAGCCCCCUGAUAAGAAGAUCUGUUCGAUCUUUAAAUUUUUACAUGAU
rnacentral:rRNA from 1 species